CAUAAAAUCCGGCGCGUUGGUGCUCGCGCCGUGGUUCACGCGGCGCAGUUCAACGGGAAGCAGGAGUCGAAGCCCCUCAGGGCCCAGCCAGCCUGCGCUGCCCCCGCAACGGUCAAACAGCCGGCACCCCUCGGUGCCACCCUCGUCAAGAAGCCACUGGGCGCCCUGAAACAGGUGCCUGGGAAGGCGGCGGGGGCGUGCUGUCAGCCCGGAUACCGGCCAACGAGGCGGCUGCCGCA
rnacentral:ncRNA from 1 species